GGCGGUGUAGCUCAGUCGGUAGAGCAGGGGAAUCAUAAUCCCUGUGUCCGGGGUUCGAGUCCCUGCACCGCCACCA
rnacentral:tRNA from 1 species